rnacentral:rRNA from 1 species
AGCGCAGGCGGGUCGACAAGUCCUUGGUGAAAUCCUGAGGCUUAACCUCAGGACUGCCCAUGAUACUGUCGAUCUUGAGUGCAGAAGAGGAAGACGGAAUUCCUGGUGUAGCGGUGAAAUGCGUAGAUAUCAGGAAGAACACCGGUGGCGAAGGCGGUCUUCUGGUCUGUAACUGACGCUCAUGCUCGAAAGCGUGGGGAGCAAACAGGAUUAGAUACCCUGGUAGUCCACGCCCUAAACGAUGGAUACUCGAUGUCGGGUCGCAAGGCCCGGUGUCCAAGCCAACGCGUUAAGUAUCCCACCUGGGGAGUACGAUCGCAAGGUUGAA